AAUAAAUCUAACAAGAAAUCUUAAAACUUUCAACAACGGAUCUCUUGGUUCUCGCAUCGAUGAAGAACGCAGCGAAAUGCGAUACGUAAUACGAAUCGCAGCUCUCGGAAUCAUCGAAUCUUUGAACGCAUAUUGCACCAUGAGGUAUUCCUCAUGGUAUGCCUGUUUGAGCGAAGGAUUCUCUAAUCCCUCGGAUUGUUUUGUAAAUCAAAAAGUAUUUUCUACACUAUACAAUAUCGUGUAGCAUUCACAACUUUUUCCUCAAAUCAGGUAGGACUACCCGCUGAACUUAAGCAUAUCAAUAAGCGGAGGAA
rnacentral:rRNA from 1 species